UUUUUGGGGGCCACAGCCGCGGUAAUUCCAGCUCUGUAAGCGUAUACCAAAGUUGUUGCAGUUAAAACGCUCGUAGUCGGACUUUGGCAGUUCCGGGAGUGUGCGCGUCGUGCGCACGCUUUGCGGGGACUGCUUUUGUGGUAUUGCGUGGGAUGAAGCAUUUUAAUUAAUGAACGUCCCUCCGCAACCACUUUUUACUGUGAGAAAAUCAGAGUGCUCAAAGCAGGCAUUUGCCGUGAAUGUAUUAGCAUGGAAUAAUAGAAUAGGACUUAGUUCUAUUUUGUUGGUUUGUUGGGACUGAGUAAUGAUUAAGAGGGACAGUUGGGGGUAUUUGUAUUUCGGCGCUAGAGGUGAAAUUCUUAGAUUGCCGAAAGACAAACUGCUGCGAAAGCGUCUACCAAGGAUGUUUUCAUUGAUCAAGAACGAAAGUAAGGGGAUCGAAGACGAUCAGAUACCGUCGUAGUCUUUACUAUAAACGAUGAGGACUGGGGAUCGGGCGAGGCAUUACGAUGACCCGCCCGGCACCCUUCGAGAAAUCAAAGUGUUUGCUUUCUGGGGGGAGUAUGGUCGCAAGUCUGAAACUUAAAGGAAUUGACGGAAGGGCAUCACCGGGUGUGGAGCCUGCGGCUUAAUUUGACUCAACACGGGAAAACUUACCAGGUCAGGACAUAGUGAGGAUUGACAGAUUGAGAGCUCUUUCUUGAUUCUAUGGGU
rnacentral:rRNA from 1 species